rnacentral:tRNA from 1 species
GCAGACUUGUGUGAGAGGUUGAAACAACCAUCUUGGAAAGGUGGCAUACGCCAAAAGCGUAUCACAGGUUCGAAUCCUGUAGUCUGCGCCA